rnacentral:rRNA from 1 species
AGCAGCCGCGGUAAUUCCAGCUCCAAUAGCGUAUAUUAAAGUUGUUGCAGUUAAAAGCUCGUAGUUGAAUUUCGGGGUUAGUAGGUUGGUCAUGCCUCUGGUAUGUACUGGUCUCACUGAUUCCUCCUUCCUGAUGAACCGUAAUGCCAUUAAUUUGGUGUUGCGGGGAAUUUGGACUGUUACUUUGAAAAAAUUAGAGUGUUAAAGCAAGCUAACGCUUGAAUACAUUAGCAUGGAAUAAUGAAAUAGGACGUUCGAUCCUAUUUUGUUGGUUUCUAGGAUUGACGUAAUGAUUAAUAGGGAUAGUUGGGGGCAUUAGUAUUCAAUUGUCAGAGGUGAAAUUCUUGGAUUUAUUGAAGACUAACUACUGCGAAAAGCAUUUGCCAAGGAUGUUUUCAUUAAUCAAGAACGAAAGUUAGGGGAUCGAAGACGAUCAGAUACCGUCGUAGUCUUAACCAUAAAACUAUGCCGACUAGGGAUCGGAUGAUGUUAAUUUUUUAAUGACUCAUUCGGCGCCUUA